rnacentral:lncRNA from 1 species
CGUUACAAAAGAACCAUGAAAGCCUUUCUCUUCAUUUCCCUUACUUUAGCUUCUGCAUUAUUCUUCACCUCUUUGCAGGAAACAUCAGCUUCUGGAAAAAGCAAAUUAAACACUUACAUUGUAUUUGUAGAGAAGCCAGAAAGCCUAUUAUCCACACAAUCAACUGAUAUAAAUGACUGGUACAAAACAUUCCUUCCUGCAACUACCUUAAAAAGCUCGAGCGAAGAGACACGCAUCGUGCAUUCAUAUCAGAAUGUGAUCACGGGCUUUGCUGCUAAGCUUACACAAGAAGAAGCAAAAGAAAUGGAGCAGAAGGAUGGGUUUGUCUCAGCAAGAGUUGACCGAGCCUUGUCUCUACAUACAACUCACACUCCUAAGUUUUUGGGUCUCCGGCAGAAUCUAGGAGCCGGUUGGAACGCUUCAAAUCUUGGCAAAGGAGUGAUUAUUGGUGUUAUUGACAGCGGCAUCCAGUAUGAUCAUCCUUCGUUUCGCGACAAAGGUAUGCCUCCACCUCCUGCAAAAUGGAAAGGCAAGUGUGAGAUCAAUGGCAAGAUGACUUGUAACAACAAGCUCAUCGGUACUAGAAGCUUUGUCUCUCCGGGAAAUCUAACGGAAGACGAACUCCAUGGAACUCAUACUGCUGGGGAAGCUGCUGGAACUGCUGUGGACGGUGCCAAUGUGUUUGGACAAGCUAAUGGAACUGCAAUGGGGAUCGCCCCAUUUGCCCACUUGGCGAUGUACAAGGUUUGUAUAACUAGUUUUGAAUGCUUUGAGAGUAUGGUAUUGGCAGCAAUGGAUGCUGCUAUAG